rnacentral:rRNA from 1 species
GAUUCCCCCAGUAGCGGCGAGCGAACGGGGAGCAGCCCAGAGCCUGAAUCAGUGUGUGUGUUAGUGGAAGCGUCUGGAAAGGCGUGCGAUACAGGGUGACAGCCCCGUACACAAAAAUGCACAUACUGUGAGCUCGAUGAGUAGGGCGGGACACGUGGUAUCCUGUCUGAAUAUGGGGGGACCAUCCUCCAAGGCUAAAUACUCCUGACUGACCGAUAGUGAACCAGUACCGUGAGGGAAAGGCGAAAAGAACCCCGGCGAGGGGAGUGAAAAAGAACCUGAAACCGUGUACGUACAAGCAGUGGGAGCCUCUUAAUGGGGUGACUGCGUACCUUUUGUAUAAUGGGUCAGCGACUUAUAUUCUGUAGCAAGGUUAACCGAAUAGGGGAGCCGAAGGGAAACCGAGUCUUAACUGGGCGUUAAGUUGCAGGGUAUAGACCCGAAACCCGGUGAUCUAGCCAUGGGCAGGUUGAAGGUUGGGUAACACUAACUGGAGGACCGAACCGACUAAUGUUGAAAAAUUAGCGGAUGACUUGUGGCUGGGGGUGAAAGGCCAAUCAAACCGGGAGAUAGCUGGUUCUCCCCGAAAGCUAUUUAGGUAGCGCCUCGUGAAUUCAUCUCCGGGGGUAGAGCACUGUUUCGGCAAGGGGGUCAUCCCGACUUACCAACCCGAUGCAAACUGCGAAUACCGGAGAAUGUUAUCACGGGAGACACACGGCGGGUGCUAACGUCCGUCGUGAAGAGGGAAACAACCCAGACCGCCAGCUAAGGUCCCAAAGUCAUGGUUAAGUGGGAAACGAUGUGGGAAGGCCCAGACAGCCAGGAUGUUGGCUUAGAAGCAGCCAUCAUUUAAAGAAAGCGUAAUAGCUCACUGGUCGAGUCGGCCUGCGCGGAAGAUGUAACGGGGCUAAACCAUG